rnacentral:lncRNA from 1 species
AGGAGGUUGAACACUCUGGCGGAGGAUUUGCUUUCCACUGAUGACCAUAUGUCUCUUUGAGAUAAUUACGGAAGAUACUCAAGUGAUUUGUUCAAUCCUAUAUCAUGAGGGGAAGAUUCAUGUGGACCUUCUCAUCUCGUGAUCUUCUUGUAGCAUUUUCAAAACUCUGAAACCAUAGCUUUUUCACUUUUGAGUUUUGAUGUUCUUUGCUCAUCAUAACUAUGAAUUGUAUUAUUGGCAUUUAAGUUACCUGUUUCCCAGCUUUUUAGACAGAUAACAUUCAUACUGUUCGGAAACAUUAUACACAUCCGUAAGUUCUCUCCCUUACUGUUACACCAACAGAAGUUUAAUAUCUCAUCCGCAUCAUCUUCUGGAUCCUUCUUUAUCAGAACAUCUAUUCAAGAUCAGAAUCUGGAACGAGGAAACUGAAACACAGCGUAGUGAAUCUCAGUAUAUUCCCAAACUCGUGUCUGGUGACACAAAAAGAGUGAAGAACAUACCAUCCACUCCAUUUGGAAGCAAGCUGUCCAAAUCUAUCAUACAAAGUGCUUUUAAAAGUUCGAGUUUGAUCAUCAUGAAACAUUUUAAAUUUGAUUUGCUUCCAUCUUUUUGAAUCAUAAUAUAAUGUUAUAUAACACAUACAUGCAAAUUAUAAAAAUGUGUGUUAUUAGACAAAUCAAACAGAAUACACUAUUGUAACGUUCACAUAUCGUAAAACCCUCUUGUUCUGCAACAAUGUAGAUCUAAACUGCAGCAAAACCAUUUUUAAAGAAGAUUAAACAAUAAUCACCUUUCCUUCUUUGUUCCUUAAUCAUCAUCACUGUCUUCAUCCUUCUCUAAUCGAUCUUAACCGAGGAAUAGAUGAGCCUUGUGAACCAGAGACAAGCAUAGAACCCUAUCGUUCCCGUGAGCACAAAAAAUGCGCAAGACGCGAUGAGCAUGUACCCAAAGUAAAGCAUCGCCGACACCAGUUUUGUGAUCUGAAGUUUUGUGUGAAAGUAAAACGCGGCGUAGAGGAAGAGAUACAGAGCUGAUGAGCCUGAUGUUAGGUACGAUCUCCACCACCACAGGUAGUCCUCACUGCAAAGCUGGAAGUAGCAGAGUACUACUGUUAUCUCCGCGCAAGUCACGAUGAGGAUUACAAAGACAAGGAAGAGGAACCCGAAGAUGUAGUAGAACUGGUUGAGCCAGAUGGAUGUGAGGAUGAAGAAGAGCUCGAUGAAGACUGCACCAAACGGUAAGAUUCCACCAAUGAGGAUUGAGAAAACCGGGUUCAUGUACCAAGCUUGCUCUGGGAUUUGCCUUGGGAUUUUGUUGGUUUUCACUGGGUCAUCAACCGCUGGCUUCUUGAAACCGAGGUAAGCCCCAACAAAGACAAGAGGAACCGAGAUGCCAAACCAGAGGAAGAUCAAGGCGAACAUAGUUCCGAAGGGGACAGCACCAGAUGAUUUUUGUCCCCAGAUGAGAGCGUUUAGGACAAAGAAGAUGGAGGAGACAACCGCAGGGAACAAGAAGGCUGUUCUGAAGGCGAUUCUCUUCCACUCUGUUCCUUUGAACAUUUUGUAGAGACGUGAAGAAGCGUAACCAGCAAAGAGUCCCAUGAAGACCCAGAGCAGAAGCAUGGCCGUCAUCAGACCACCCCUAUUCGAAGGGGAGAGAAACCCGAGCAUGGCGAAGAUCAUUGUGACAAAUACCAUGCCUAAACAUUGGACCCCUGUACCAACGUAGACGCAGAGCAGAUCUGAAUUGGUUGGAAUCCUGAAAACAUCACCAUGGACAAGCUUCCAUCCUGUCUCUUCUUGAGCUUCUUCUUGUCUUCUUGAAACCGAGGUAAGCCCCAACAAAGACAAGAGGAACCGAGAUGCCAAACCAGAGGAAGAUCAAGGCGAACAUAGUUCCGAAGGGGACAGCACCAGAUGAUUUUUGUCCCCAGAUGAGAGCGUUUAGGACAAAGAAGAUGGAGGAGACAACCGCAGGGAACAAGAAGGCUGUUCUGAAGGCGAUUCUCUUCCACUCUGUUCCUUUGAACAUUUUGUAGAGACGUGAAGAAGCGUAACCAGCAAAGAGUCCCAUGAAGACCCAGAGCAGAAGCAUGGCCGUCAUCAGACCACCCCUAUUCGAAGGGGAGAGAAACCCGAGCAUGGCGAAGAUCAUUGUGACAAAUACCAUGCCUAAACAUUGGACCCCUGUACCAACGUAGACGCAGAGCAGAUCUGAAUUGGUUGGAAUCCUGAAAACAUCACCAUGGACAAGCUUCCAUCCUGUCUCUUCUUGAGCUUCUUCUUGAGUCUCAAGCUCGUUGUACCGUGAGAUGUCACGGUAAAGGGUCCUCAGCAUUAUCAUCGCCACCAUACCAGACAAGAACAGAACGAUCAUCAGAGAAUUAACGAUAGAGAACCAGUGAAUUUGGUUAUCAUUCAUCAGAAGAUACGCAUCCCAUCUAGAUGCCCACUUCACUUCACUUUCCUGAAACGGAAGCAGCAGCAGGAAAUCAGAAAAAUACUGAGAACAAGAACCAGACACAAAUCACAGAUUAUUUAUUUAUAUAUAAAAAGAACUUGCCUGGAAAUCAACAUCAUAUGUGAAGAUAAUCUCCUUCUUUGGUUCAACUUCUUGAGGGGUAGAAGAGCUAACGACCAGGCGUUUUGUGUGAGGAUCACAGGUAGUCAGACGAGUCUUCUCACUCCACUUGCCAUCGUAUUCAUGCUUAAUACUGCAAAACAAGGGAAAAACAAUCAGUACUGAAAAACAGAGAGGCACAAGAGACAAUUCAAAUCAUUGACAAGAAAUGAACCUGUAAGGUUUGACUUCAAAUCCCACAAUCCUUGCAGAAUCAGUUUGCACAUCUCUGUGAUAUCGGACUGUAAACGCCAAGUGAUUGUGCAUAAAGAACUUUUGCUCUUUGCUCUGUGUAUACAAAAUGCAGUUUAGAAAAUCAAGCUAUUUGGCCUGCUGUUUACAAUCGAAAGUUCGAAACCUACUUACCCCCUCAUACUGGCCUUUAAGACCAACAUGAUAGCCAAGCUGAUAAACAACAGCGGGAGAACCCGGAUCCCCUCUUUCAAUUGGAACCACAAGAGGAAGAUUGUCGAGGAUCCUAACACACAAGAAAAAGGACUUGUAAGAAAACAGUCAGAAGGAAAGAAUGCUCUUCCACAAAAGUAAUCCAACAAAAGUUUCUAUUCUUUUGGUCAUACAUGUUGACACGGUACUCAUCAUCAAUCUUUUCUUUGAAGGCUUUGGCUGUCUUGGCAUCAAGAGUGAUGCGGCAGAGAACAUUGCACAUCUGUGCCUCCCGCAUUUUAAACUGCAGUUGAUUCAGUUCCACAAAAAGUUAGAGAUAAAUCACAGACCGAUCAUUUAAAAGGCAAUAGAGAGACAAACCGAAUAAGGAGCAUUUUCAAUCCGGUCACCACGAAGCACUUCUCCAAGAUUCUCAGUACUAUCAACAAUCUUCUUAGGUUGGCAAAAAGGAAGCGAGUAGUAAGAGUACGGAAGCUGAGUCUUGAUGGAGGUUAGUUUAUUCACUUUAACCUUCAGCUCAUCACCCUGCAAACAUCAGAUAAAAGACCCACAUUUGAAUAUGAUUCCAACUAAUCUAGUGAAACAUGCAAGUAUACUUUGACUGAGAUUCGUAAUCAAUCAUGCACUAAGAACCUAACGUAAACAAUCAAAAUUGCAACAAUUGUGAAUCUCAAAUCAAAGUAUCAGCACACCGACUCUCAUUUACAGUAGCUUUCUCGCGGAUCUAAUCCUAAAAGGGAACUCUAACGCCAUACCAAAACCGAGAACUCAGAUCGAGGAGAUCCAAUUCAGAUCUAGAAGAUGAGAAAUUUUUAUGAUACAUUAAUGAAAAUAAAUUUGAUAUUCGAGGGUUCUUUUUGAUAUUGCUCUCGGUGAACCUAGAAUAUAUGGGAAUAGAUAAUAGUCCACUUUCGUCGGAAAAGCGUGUGAUGAUCUUUUAUAGUCGUGGGGGAAGCAGAUUCGUCAUUAUUAUGUGAAAAGCGAAAAUGUUGAAAACUUUGGAGAUAUUUUCACCUCGAAAUCCAAAAAAGAAAAGAAAAGUGUAAAUAAGAAUUUUAUGAUAUCGUGUAGUAUAUGCGUUUAGUGGUCUGAUUUUGGAUUGAUUGUUUGGGCUUAUCACGCUAAGGGUCAUCUUCUUUUGAUCAUGGGCCUUGACGGCUGAGGGCUGAAAAUCAUGUAUGUGUGUUGGGGUGUAUAGUAAUCUACUAUGUGAUGACUUUCUCCGUUUCUCGGUGCAUCAUAUCGAUGGAGCCGAACCAGCAGGCUGAACAUUUUAGCCGACUGAUCCCAAAAAUCUAAUCUGAAUCCGAGCGACUAUUGAAUUAAAGAGAUUAGAUAUCCAAAUCCGAAAAGAUAUUCAAAAAUAAUCGAAUACAUGUAUAAUUAAUUUCAUAUUUCUAAUUUACUUUUCUCAUUUUAUUUAAAAUAUUUAUAUUGAUAAUGCACAUGGUUCAAAAAUCAAAUAAUAUAUAUAUAACGAAUAUAUAAUUGCAGACAAAACUAUUUAUCACUCACUUAAAAUGUAUGUUAAACUUCUUGUUUCAUAUAUUAACAAAAAAUUCAUUCGGAGUCUCGAAACAACAAUCAUAUUACUUUUUAUUUUAUUUUUAAAAAUUUAUUUUUAAAUAUAUUAAUCGUCUCACCUAACAAAACUUAAAAAUCAGUUAAGUUAAUGGUAAUUUUUUAAAUAUCGAAUCCUUGAACAGUGAAAGUUCGAUUUUUUUUUCAAAAUCUAAUAUCUGAAUCCGACUACUCAAAUAUAAUUGAACUCUAUCUGGUAUGUGAAAAUACCAAACCCGAAAUGAUAUGUAAAUAUAUCUGAAUAGGUUCUAGACCCCAAUACUAAAAUAUCCGACAACUGGACAUAUCUGAUCCAAAUUGGAACGUGUGCAUUCGACUGCUCAGGCCUAUUGCAGAUGUUCGGAAACCAAAAAGAUAUGAAUGGGUUUUUAAAAGGCCCACAAAAUAAACUCCAGCCUCUAAUAAUGGAAUAAACGAAUCCAAGAUCCGGAUAAUAGUUGUAUCCGGGUCAAGAAAGCUCCGAACCCAAUUUGAGGAAACGGGUUUGGACUGUGGGAGUAAAAUUAUUUUUCUUUUCUUCUCUGUUUUUUUUUUAACAUCUGAUAAGGAUCGGAUCUAGCUCUCUUCUUCUUCUUCGAUUCCUCUGUCUCGUCGAUCGAAGAAGUAACCUAAAUGGACAAAGGCAAAGCAGUGAUGGGUGCUGGUCGGAGAUGGGCCGUCGAUUUCUCCGAUCAAUCAACCGUUCCAUCUUCCCGGGACAUCCUCGAUCCACCUGGCUUCUCUCGUACUUCUCCCGAACAGGUUUCUUCCUUUUCCUUCCCCGUUUCGGUAUUCAAUUUGAAUUAGAUCCAUUAGAUGUUGCUUCCAAUUGGAUUCAAUUUUAGAAAUUUUACCGAGAAUUGACUUGUGUUACUAGUGGAUUUGAUGAUUUUGGUUUGGUUGUUUUCAGGAUGAUUCAGCAACGAGCCGCCAAAAGAAAGACGCUGAAGCUACUUGGAAACUUCAGGUACUUUUAAUGUCUAAUCUGAAAGUCAGUAGUUGUCUUAAAUCGUACGGAAUCGAUCAUGGUCACUGCUAGAGUAUUUUUAAAGCCAUUGACUUUGAAGUGUUGUAGACCUUUUACAUAAGAAUUAUCCUUUUUUUUUUCUAUCUCUCAUUGUUCAAAUUUGCUUAUAGAUGGUGUGGGUAUAGUUUUUUUAACAAAAAAGUUUUUUUUUUUUGCUUGAUGAAUGAGCAGAAAGCAUGGGAAGUAGCGCAGUCACCGUUUAAGAAUCUGAUGAUGAUGGGUUUCAUGAUGUGGAUGGCUGGAAACACUGUUCACCUCUUUAGCAUUGGUAUUACUUUCUCUGCUCUUUGGCAGCCUCUCAGCGCCCUCCAGAGCGUUGGAAAGAGUAAGAAACAAGUUUUGAUCAUUUGAGUUUAUAACUUGGUUUGUGACUAUAAGUCCAGAGUCUUGCAUCCUUACGUUAUUUUCUCUUUUUUUGUUUGCAGUUUUUGAGCCAUUCAAGGAUAACAAGGUGGAACUACUUAUGCCCAAACUGGUGUUUCUUGCCCUUAACCUUGGAGGCUUAGCUUUGGGUAUCUGGAAGGUGAUUAAAAAUUUAUCCUUCCCUCAUCGUUGCUUCUUCCCCCUUUAAGAAAGUGUGAAGUUCUGGUUUCUCAUACAAACAAAUUUAACUUUUUCUCAGCUCAACACUUUGGGGCUUCUUCCAACACAUGCAUCAGAUUGGGUUUCAUCUCUACCCCCUCCUCAGGUUUGUAAUUUUUAUCUGCAGCAGAAUCUUGUGUUCAAGUGUUUCAAUUCAUCAUCUCUAAGCUGGACACAUCAUGUUUCCUCUAUUUCUUUUUGCAGGAGGUUGAACACUCUGGCGGAGGAUUUGCUUUCCACUGAUGACCAUAUGUCUCUUUGAGAUAAUUACGGAAGAUACUUAAGUGAUUUGUUCAAUCCUAUAUCAUGAGGGGAAGAUUCAUGUGGACCUUCUCAUCUCGUGAUCUUCUUGUAGCAUUUUCAAAACUCUGAAACCAUAGCUUUUUCACUUUUGAGUUUUGAUGUUCUUUGCUCAUCAUAACUAUGAAUUGUAUUAUUGGCAUUUAAGUUACCUGUUUCCCAGCUUUUUAGACAGAUAACAUUCAUACUGUUCGGAAACAUUAUACACAUCCGUAAGUUCUCUCCCUUACUGUUACACC